rnacentral:snRNA from 1 species
GGAUGUGAGGGCUAUCUGGCCGUAACAUCUGUCACCCCAUUGAUUUCCAGGGUUGAAUCGGCUCUGGCCAGCUAGAUGUGUGUCCCCUUCCUCCCUCACCACUCCAUGCACGUCCCUCCGGAAGCUAAGUGCUCCGUUGUAAAGGAUGACCUUCCUCAAAUAGAAGAUAGCCCAGUCCUGGCACCAGGAUUUCUUAUAACAGGCUAUGGCUUUAGGGUAAAGCUUUCUCCAU